GGAGAGCUUGCUCUCUGGUGGCGAGUGGCGAACGGGUGAGUAAUAUAUCGGAACGUGUCCAAUAAUGGGGGAUAACGAGUCGAAAGAUUCGCUAAUACCGCAUACGCCCUACGGGGGAAAGCAGGGGAUCGUAAGACCUUGCGUUAAUGGAGCGGCCGAUAUCUGAUUAGCUUGUUGGUGAGGUAAAGGCUCACCAAGGCGACGAUCAGUAGCUGGUUUGAGAGAACGACCAGCCACACUGGAACUGAGACACGGUCCAGACUCCUACGGGAGGCAGCAGUGGGGAAUUUUGGACAAUGGGGGCAACCCUGAUCCAGCCAUCCCGCGUGAGUGAAGAAGGCCUUCGGGUUGUAAAGCUCUUUCGCAAGGGAAGAAAACUUAUGAUCGAAUAAAUCAUGAGGUUGACGGUACCUUGAUAAGAAGCACCGGCUAACUACGUGCCAGCAGCCGCGGUAAUACGUAGGGUGCGAGCGUUAAUCGGAAUUACUGGGCGUAAAGCGUGCGCAGGCGGUUUUGUAAGUCGGAUGUGAAAUCCCCGGGCUCAACCUGGGAACUGCGUUCGAAACUGCAAGGCUAGAGUGUGUCAGAGGGGGGUAGAAUUCCACGUGUAGCAGUGAAAUGCGUAGAGAUGUGGAGGAAUACCAAUGGCGAAGGCAGCCCCCUGGGAUAACACUGACGCUCAUGCACGAAAGCGUGGGGAGCAAACAGGAUUAGAUACCCUGGUAGUCCACGCCCUAAACGAUGUCAA
rnacentral:rRNA from 1 species